AGAGUUUGAUCAUGGCUCAGAGCGAACGCUGGCGGCAGGCCUAACACAUGCAAGUCGAACGGACCUUUCGGGGUUAGUGGCGGACGGGUGAGUAACACGUGGGAACGUGCCUUUAGGUUCGGAAUAGCUCCUGGAAACGGGUGGUAAUGCCGAAUGUGCCCUUCGGGGGAAAGAUUUAUCGCCUUUAGAGCGGCCCGCGUCUGAUUAGCUAGUUGGUUGAGGUAACGGCUCACCAAGGCGACGAUCAGUAGCUGGUCUGAGAGGAUGGCCAGCCACAUUGGGACUGAGACACGGCCCAAACUCCUACGGGAGGCAGCAGUGGGGAAUCUUGCGCAAUGGGCGAAAGCCUGACGCAGCCAUGCCGCGUGAAUGAUGAAGGUCUUAGGAUUGUAAAAUUCUUUCACCGGGGACGAUAAUGACGGUACCCGGAGAAGAAGCCCCGGCUAACUUCGUGCCAGCAGCCGCGGUAAUACGAAGGGGGCUAGCGUUGCUCGGAAUUACUGGGCGUAAAGGGCGCGUAGGCGGACAUUUAAGUCAGGGGUGAAAUCCCAGAGCUCAACUCUGGAACUGCCUUUGAUACUGGGUGUCUUGAGUGUGAGAGAGGUAUGUGGAACUCCGAGUGUAGAGGUGAAAUUCGUAGAUAUUCGGAAGAACACCAGUGGCGAAGGCGACAUACUGGCUCAUUACUGACGCUGAGGCGCGAAAGCGUGGGGAGCAAACAGGAUUAGAUACCCCGGUAGUCC
rnacentral:rRNA from 1 species